AGUGAACGCUGGCGGUAGGCCUAACACAUGCAAGUCGAACGGCAGCACAGUAAGAGCUUGCUCUUACGGGUGGCGAGUGGCGGACGGGUGAGGAAUACAUCAGAAUCUACUUUUUCGUGGGGGAUAACGUAGGGAAACUUACGCUAAUACCGCAUACGACCUACGGGUGAAAGCAGGGGAUCUUCGGACCUUGCGCGAUUGAAUGAGCCGAUGUCGGAUUAGCUAGUUGGCGGGGUAAAGGCCCACCAAGGCGACGAUCCGUAGCUGGUCUGAGAGGAUGAUCAGCCACACUGGAACUGAGACACGGUCCAGACUCCUACGGGAGGCAGCAGUGGGGAAUAUUGGACAAUGGGCGCAGGCCUGAUCCAGCCAUACCGCGUGGGUGAAGAAGGCCUUCGGGUUGUAAAGCCCUUUUGUUGGGAAAGAAAAGCAGCAGGUUAAUACCCCGCUGUUCUGACGGUACCCAAAGAAUAAGCACCGGCUAACUUCGUG
rnacentral:rRNA from 1 species